AGCCACCUAAAGGAAUGGUAGAGCAGUGCUGACAAGGCCAUUCUUGGGGUUGGGGGAGGGUGAUGGUGGAAGAAGGAAGGAGGGAAAUUCGAGCACAGAGGCAGGAUUGAGUUUCAUAGGAGCUAUUAAAGAGACAAGUCAUUCCCCCAACUUCCCUUCCUUAACAGCUUCAGCUAUUGGAUGGGGAGGAGAGCUCACAAGGUGAGGGACUAAGCUGUACUUUCUGUCAGACCUGGUAACAGUACCUUUUCUGGGCUGUUGUCUAGCAGUAACAAUGA